GACGAACGCUGGCGGCGUGCCUAAUACAUGCAAGUAGAACGCUGAAGAGAGGAGCUUGCUCUUCUUGGAUGAGUUGCGAACGGGUGAGUAACGCGUAGGUAACCUGCCUGGUAGCGGGGGAUAACUAUUGGAAACGAUAGCUAAUACCGCAUAAAAUUGAUUAUUGCAUGAUAAUUAAUUGAAAGAUGCAAUUGCAUCACUACCAGAUGGACCUGCGUUGUAUUAGCUAGUUGGUGAGGUAACGGCUCACCAAGGCGACGAUACAUAGCCGACCUGAGAGGGUGAUCGGCCACACUGGGACUGAGACACGGCCCAGACUCCUACGGGAGGCAGCAGUAGGGAAUCUUCGGCAAUGGGGGGAACCCUGACCGAGCAACGCCGCGUGAGUGAAGAAGGUUUUCGGAUCGUAAAGCUCUGUUGUAAGAGAAGAACGAGUGUGAGAGUGGAAAGUUCACACUGUGACGUACCUACCAGAAAGGAC
rnacentral:rRNA from 1 species